rnacentral:ncRNA from 1 species
CAACCUCAACUCAUAUGGGACUACCCCCUGAAUUUAAGCAUAUUAAUUAGGGGAGGAAAAGAAACUAACAAGGAUUUUCUUAGUAGCGGCGAGCGAAAAGAAAUCAGUUCAGCACUAAGUCACUUUGUCUAUAUGGCAAAUGUGAGAUGCAGUGUACGGAACAUCAACAUUCUAGUAUGAGAAGUUAACGAUUUAAGUCCUUCUUAAAUGAGGCCAUUUACCCAUAGAGGGUGCCAGGCCCGUAUAACGUUAAUGAUUACUAGAUGGUGUUUCCAAAGAGUCGUGUUGCUUGAUAGUGCAGCACUAAGUGGGUGGUAAACUCCAUCUAAAACUAAAUAUAACCAUGAGACCGAUAGUAAACAAGUACCGUGAGGGAAAGUUGAAAAGAACUCUGAAUAGAGAGUUAAAUAGUACGUGAAACUGCUUAGAGGUUAAGCCCGAUGAACCUGAAUAUCCGUUAUGGAAAAUUCAUCAUUAGAAUUGUAAUAUUUUAAACAAUAUUAUAAUAAUAGUGUGCAUUUUUUCCAUAUAAGGACAUUGUAAUCUAUUAGCAUAAAUAUUUAUCAUAAAAUUAUGUCUGAUUGCUUAUUUGAAUUAUAUGCUUGGCAUUUUAACAUAAAAUAAAAGAUAUAAAUUUGAUAAAGUGCUGAUAGAUUUAUAUGAUUACAGUGCGUUAAUUUUUCGGAAUUAUAUAAUGGCAUAAUUAUCAUUGAUAUUUGUGUUUAUUAUAUGCAUUUGUAUGAUUAACAAUGCGAAAG